CUUCUUUUGAUUUUGGAGAAUUAAAAAUGUUUAAAUUAUUUAUACAUGUUAGUGAAAGCGUACAAAUGAGUAAUAAAUAAUAAUAAUUAUGUUGUAUCAGGUAUUUAGAUAUAAAAUAUUAAAAACCUAAGACACAAAAUAAAAAUCAUGUUUUAAAUGAAACAAUAUAAAAUUCACAGCAGUAAAGAAUAUUAUACAAUUAACGAAAGUUAGAUAUAGUCUUUUAAUUUAAUCUUGUCUAAUUAAGUGCCAGCAGACGCGGUUAUACUUAAGAGAUUAAUUUUUUUAUAAAAAAGGUAGUAUGUAGAAUUUUUUUAUGUAUAUAUAAACUUAUUGGGUUAGUAGAAUAAUACAAUAAAAUGUAAUUCUUUAUAUACAAAGUAAUUUGAAAUGAGAAAAAAGAAUAUUAAAUAGGAUUAGAUACCCUAGUAAUUCUUAAAGUUAUUAAUUAAUAUCUAUUUGAGUAGUAUAAUUUUUUAAAAUGAAAAUCAAAAAUUUUGGCUGUUUAUUUUACUAUUAGAGGAACGUGUUAUUUAAUUUGAUAAUCCACGAAAUACCUUACCUAUUUUUGUUUGCAGGUGUUGCAUGGCCGUCUUACAUUAAUUUAUAAAAAAUGAGUUAGGGAAAAAGUCAGGUGUUAAGGCCCUAAUAAAUAGGCAUAAAUGCGUUACAAUAAUUAUAAUAAUUCAAUAAUAAUUUUAGAUUUUAUUUGAAAUAAUAAAUGAAAGAGAAUUUAAAAGUAAAUGAAAAUAUAAAGUUUCAUUAAACCGUUAAAAAUAUAAGUACAAAUUGCCCGUCGCCUUUACCUAGGUAAAGUAAGUCGUAACAUAGUGGGUAUAAGGGAA
rnacentral:rRNA from 1 species